rnacentral:rRNA from 1 species
UACGUAGGGACCAAGCGUUGUUCGGAUUUACUGGGCGUAAAGGGCGCGUAGGCGGCGUGUUAAGUCACUUGUGAAAUCUCUGAGCUUAACUCAGAACGGUCAAGUGAUACUGAUGUGCUAGAGUGCAGAAGGGGCAACCGGAAUUCUUGGUGUAGCGGUGAAAUGCGUAGAGAUCGGAAAGAACACCAACGGCGAAAGCGCUCUGCUGGGCCGACACUGACACUGAGAGACGAAAGCUAGGGGAGCGAAUGGG